rnacentral:pre_miRNA from 1 species
AGGGGAAUGCAGGAUCCUGGGCUGUGUCCCCUGGCAUCCUGGGCUCCAGGGCCUGCGCUGCUGGAAUGGUGCUUGCCGGCCGUGCGGCGCCCU